UACGUAGGGGGCAAGCGUUGUCCGGAUUUAUUGGGCGUAAAGAGCGUGUAGGCGGCUUUACAGGUCCGUUGUGAAAACUCGAGGCUCAACCUCGAGACGCCGGUGGAAACCGUAAAGCUAGAGUCCGGAAGAGGAGAGUGGAAUUCCUGGUGUAGCGGUGAAAUGCGCAGAUAUCAGGAAGAACACCAGUGGCGAAGGCGGCUCACUGGCCCGGUACUGACGCUGAGGCGCGAAAGCGUGGGGAGCAAACAGG
rnacentral:rRNA from 1 species